rnacentral:rRNA from 1 species
UGGGGAAUAUUGGACAAUGGGCGAAAGCCUGAUCCAGCCAUGCCGCGUGUGUGAAGAAGGUCUUCGGAUUGUAAAGCACUUUAAGUUGGGAGGCAGGGCAGUAAGCGAAUACCUUGCUGUUUUGACGUUACCGACAGAAUAAGCACCGGCUAACUCUGUGCCAGCAGCCGCGGUAAUACAGAGGGUGCAAGCGUUAAUCGGAAUUACUGGGCGUAAAGCGCGCGUAGGUGGUUCGUUAAGUUGAAUGUGAAAGCCCCGGGCUCAACCUGGGAACUGCAUCCAAAACUGGCGAGCUAGAGUAGGGCAGAGGGUGGUGGAAUUUCCUGUGUAGCGGUGAAAUGCGUAGAUAUAGGAAGGAACACCAGUGGCGAAGGCGACCACCUGGGCUCAUACUGACACUGAGGUGCGAAAGCGUGGGGAGCAAACAGG